rnacentral:misc_RNA from 1 species
GAUGAAGAACGUAGCGAAAUGCGAUAAGUAGUGUGAAUUGCAGAAUUCAGUGAAUCAUCGAAUCUUUGAACGCACAUUGCGCCCUUUGGUAUUCCAAAGGGCAUGCCUGUUCGAGCGUCAUUUGUACCCUCAAGCUCUGCUUGGUGUUGGGUGUUUGUCCCGCCAUUGCGCGUGGACUCGCCUUAAAGCAAUUGGCAGCCAUGUAAUCCGGCUUUGAGCGCAGCACAUUGCGUACUCUCUACUGGGACAUGGGCAUCCAGAAGCCUUAUUUUUUUACUCUUGACCUCGGAUCAGGUAGGGAUACCCGCUGAACUUAAGCAUAUCAAUAAGCGGAGGA